rnacentral:rRNA from 1 species
AGGUCCGGACACACUGAGGAUUGACAGAUAUACGCUCAUUGCUGCGUGCUUCGGCGCGUGCUUUGAGCUGAAAGAUGCUAGUUCUUUCAUGAUUAUGUGAUAGGUGGUGCAUGGCCGUUCUUAGUUCGUGGAGUGAUCUGUCUGCUUAAUUGCGUAUCAAUAAUAGAGACCUAGUAUACGCGUGGAUUUCGCGUGGUAGUGACCCCCUGUUUAACGACAGGCGUGUGUCGCACACGCGUACCUACGCACUGGUCUCAGAUAGCAACGAACGUGACCGUAUUCUAUUGUUGCAGUGAAAUGUGCCUUCUGGGUACGACCCACUGCUUAGUAUAUGUACGUGCUUCGGCGCGAACAAUAUACAUUAAACUAUAGAGACCGCUGUUUCUUCUUUAAACCAGAGGAAGGAUACGGCAAUAACAGGUCUGUGAUGCCCUCAGAUGUUCCGGGCUGCACACGUGCUACAAUGAUCAUUGCACUGUGCAUCUAACCCAAUGUGCGUGGACGCCGCAUGCAUGUGCCUUCGGGUACACGCAUUGCUGUUGCGACCACGCCGAACCUACUUCGAAAGUAAAAUUUCUCAGUGGGU